rnacentral:rRNA from 1 species
GAUGAACGCUGGCGGCGUGCCUAAUACAUGCAAGUCGAGCGAACAGACGAGGAGCUUGCUCCUCUGACGUUAGCGGCGGACGGGUGAGUAACACGUGGAUAACCUACCUAUAAGACUGGGAUAACUUCGGGAAACCGGAGCUAAUACCGGAUAAUAUAUUGAACCGCAUGGUUCAAUAGUGAAAGACGGUUUUGCUGUCACUUAUAGAUGGAUCCGCGCCGCAUUAGCUAGUUGGUAAGGUAACGGCUUACCAAGGCGACGAUGCGUAGCCGACCUGAGAGGGUGAUCGGCCACACUGGAACUGAGACACGGUCCAGACUCCUACGGGAGGCAGCAGAAGGGAAUCUUCCGCAAUGGGCGAAAGCCUGACGGAGCAACGCCGCGUGAGUGAUGAAGGUCUUCGGAUCGUAAAACUCUGUUAUUGGGGAAGAACAAAUGUGUAAGUAACUAUGCACGUCUUGACGGUACCUAAUCAGAAAGCCACGGCUAACUACGUG